GAUUAGAGCGGUUCAAACAAUACAGAAGUGUAUAAAGUAAGAAUUGAAAGUCUCUUCGCUGCUCUAAUCUCACUCCUCAGAGGUGAUCACUGGACCUGAGUGAGCAGAAGGCUUUUCAGAAUUACAGCCUGAACUAUUUCUUGAGCAAUUUGGGAACUCAUUUCUAAAGCAGUCCUCAGAUUCACACAACGUAGUUUGUGACGGAGUAUGCCCAGAGCAGUGUGGAAGAUGAUCAAAGUAUGACAUUUCUUCUACCCCAGAGGCUGGCAUUUCUGCAGGCACAAAUGAGCUUGGUUUUCAAGCACUGCUCUUUGAACACAAGGAAUUCCUUUAAUGAUCACGCCGGACUAUAUAGACUUUGGAAUCAGACUCUUUGAAUUCCAGCUCUGCCAUUUACCAACUUUGACACUUUGGGUAAGUCCUUUUAACCUCUUUAAGCCUCAGUUUCCUUUUCUGCAAACAGGAAUAAUGAUAACUAACAAUAAUAAUAAUAAUCCUUUCUCAUUGAUUAAAAAU
rnacentral:lncRNA from 1 species